AUUGAACGCUGGCGGCAGGCCUAACACAUGCAAGUCGAACGAGUGGCGGACGGGUGAGUAAUGUCUGGGAAACUGCCUGAUGGAGGGGGAUAACUCCUGGAAACGGUGGCUAAUACCGCAUACCACUCGAUGGGCCCAGAUGGGAUUAGCUUGUUGGUGGGGUAACGGCUCACCAAGGCGACGAUCCAUAGCUGGUCUGCGAGGAUGACCAGCCACACUGGAACGGAGACACGGCCCAGACUCCUACGGGAGGCAGCAGUGGGGAAGAUUGCACAAUGGGCGCAAGCCUGAGCGAGCAAUGCCGCGUGUAUGAAGAAGGCCUUCGGGUUGUAAAGUACUGUUGGCAGAGAGGCGUUACCUGAAGAAAAAGCACCGGCUAACUCCGUGCCAGCAGCCGCGGUAAUAC
rnacentral:rRNA from 1 species